GGCGGUGGUUUAACUAAUCAGAGGAAUUUGCCCUAUAAUCGAUAACCCCCGAAUAAUCUACUUUAGGUGGCAGUCAGCUUGUAUACCGCCGUCAUCAGGAGAUCUUCGGAAAGUAUCUUCGAGGUGUUGUAUAAAAUAUGUCAGGUCAAGGUGCAGCUAAUACUCAAGCAGAGGUGAAUUACAAUAAAAUAAUUUAUUACGGGGUGUUGUAUGUAAACACAGCACGAAGGUGGAUU
rnacentral:rRNA from 1 species